CUAUGUGAUAGGUCACAAUCCAAAUUUGCUUUUUUGUAUUUUUUCUUUUGUUUUUUAUAUAUAUUUUUCUUCUUUUUUGUAAAUAUCCAUACUUUGUUAACAUGUUCAUAGUUUUGUAAAUACUCGUAAAUUUGUAAAUAAUUGUGCUUUCAACCCUAGUUUAAAUAUAAAUAUCUUAAUAUGUAAAUGUAAUCCCUUUCCCCCUAUCCUUCGAUACCAGUUACCCUUAAUAUAACCAAUGAAUUAAUUAAAAAAAAAAAUGAAUUUGUAAAUAAAAAUAAAUUAAAUAUUUGAAUUCAAAUCCCCGUCCUAUAAAACCCUACAUCAUCAUUCCUUCCUUAUGCACUGCAUCAUGGCGCCUUGUACCAACUGUGCGGAAACAAAUCCCUCCCGGGAAAUGUUCCACCCAUGGGUUAUGCUGCAUCAUCCUAAGCGAUAUAAAAAGGAUAUGCAGGCCAAGGCAAAGGAUCUUUUUGGAACUAAAUUCCUAACCGUGUCUCGUGAGUGCAACCGCCGAUCUCUCAUACCAGUGCCGAAAUAGUGGAGUCAUCAUCCAAGUGCGGAAUAAGCAGAACGAAGGCGUCCAGAUCCGGCUUCAGGUGGCCCAGACACGAAGUGACCGACAUCAGAAGACACAGAGGUCGGGUAAGCCCGCAAAACGUUGGAAUCAAGUGAAACUAAAUGUGCACAUCCUUUACUAUCCUAUGAAUUCCCCUCCAAAAUAUAUAAAUUUAUUGUUUAAAAUGUGAAUUUCCAAGUUACAGUGUUUAAGCUUAAUUAUUUAUUACUAGUGCAAUUCCUUUUCUCUAUCUUUUGUUGUGAUUACUUUUUUUCUCGCGCAGCAAGUGAGGGUUGUGAGUCCGCCCCUGAACGAUUCUCCCGGAUAGACCCUGAGAGGGCUGAAGUGUAAAUAGUUUGUAAAAAUUUGCUUAUUAAUUAGUUUUUUUAAUUUUGAAUUGAAGUUUUUUGAAGUUUUUCUAAGUGUUAAUUUCUUUAGUUUUCUAGUUUUCUUUUCAUCUUUUUCUUAUUAUUCUUAAAAAUUAUUGAAAUUACAAAGUGAAUUAGUAUAUAGUAGAAUUAGUAACC